rnacentral:rRNA from 1 species
AUUUAUGGCCAUGCCACCCUGAAUGUGCCAAUCUCUUCUGAUCUCGGAAGCUAAGCAGGGUCAGGCUUGGUUAGUACUUAGAUGGGAGACCACCUAGGAAGACCAGGUGCUUUUGGCA